rnacentral:tRNA from 1 species
AUUUAAAUAAUAUAAAAUAUUAUAUUUGAUUUCCAAUCAAAAAAUCUAACUACUAGUUUAAAUA